UACGGGGGGGGCAAGCGUUGUUCGGAAUUACUGGGCGUAAAGGGCUCGUAGGCGGCCAACUAAGUCAGACGUGAAAGUCCUGGGCUUAACCUGGGGACUGCAUUUGAUACUGAUUGGCUUGAAUGCAGGAGAGGAACGCGGAAUUCCAGGUGUAGCGGUGAAAUGCGUAGAUAUCUGGAGGAACACCGGUGGCGAAGGCGGCGUUCUGGACUGCUACUGACACUGAGGAACGAAAGCCAGGGGAGCAAACGGG
rnacentral:rRNA from 1 species